rnacentral:lncRNA from 1 species
CAAGGUUUGGAGUGGCGACGGUGGUCAAGGUGGGUGCUGUCAGUGCCGGAGGAAGGGGACGAGGAGGGGUGCUGUACGAGGGUCAAUUAGGAGAGUUUAUUGGGAGAGUUAAUUGAGAGAGUUAAUUAUGGUGGAAGAGUUAAUUGGAAGAGUUAAUUAGGGUGGAAGAGUUAAUUGGGAGAGUUAAUUAGGGUGGAAUAGUUAAUAUCUGAGAUUAAUUGGAAUAAAUUAGUCCUUUGAUCUGCACAAAUCUAAGUUUAUUAAUAUUUUUAAAUAUAUAACUCUUAUAUAUUAUUAAUAUAUAUUUAUUAUAAUUUUAAAUAUAUAUAUUUAAUAUAUAUAUAAAAAUUAUAAUAAUAAUAUAUAUAGUAUAUUAAUUAUUAUAUAUUUAUUAUAUAGUCGAAUUUUUUAUCCCGAAUUUUUAAUUGGUGAACGCAUAAUACCCGUAAAAAUCACGUAUCCGAAUAAUUGCCAAAUCCGAUUUUUAGCCGUAUUUUUCAACAAAUUUAAAAAUUAAAAGACGAAUUUUUUCCGAAUUUUAUCCGUACCGAAUUUUUGCCGAAUCCGAAUUAACUAACUAUGCCUCCAACCACCAAGGUUUGUUUAGCUGCGAUCGAUCUCAUCCGUUCAUCUGCUUGCUCCCGACGUGCUUAAUUAAUUAAUUGAUAUUUGAAGGGCAAAUAAGAAAAUUAUUCGCUAUAUAAAGGGUAUAUCAGAAAAGUUAGUUACGGUAGAAGGGUAUAUCAGAAUGGGCAAAAUUAUAAUUUUACAGAGAUAACGGCAGCUCACUAACGGAACUUAACUCCAGGGGUAUAUUAGAAAGACUUGGAACAUAAGAAGGGUAUUUUCAAUAUUAGCCUUCUAAGAGGGGAAAAUAAGAAAACCGAAAACUUUUCAGGGGUAUAUAGGCAAUUGCCCCUUACAUUUUUUAUUCUUUUUGCUUCCAAAUACAACCAACUAUUAAUACAAUUUAUAUAUUUUCUUUCUUUUCUUUUCUACACCCCUAA